GAGUUAAGAGUGAUUGCCCUGCUGACUCGUGAUUCUGCGGGUUGGCAUUAUGCUGAGCUCAGCCUUGUAGCUCUCUGUCCUUGCUGCGGAGCGUCCGGUGGCUCCCAGCAGCUGUGAGCACAGCAACAGAGGGAUGCGCUCUAAGUUGGCCUCUCUCACAUGCCCAGUGCUUGGUGCUGCUUACUGAAUGAUUAAACACUAGUGUUAAGGCAGCAGAAUCAGUAACUCUCCACUGGUAACGAAGUUGGAGUUGUGUCCUUGCAGGAGGAGAGCUUUGGCUGGAAAGAAGCUGAAUGUCCAUCCUCUUUAAUGUUAGGAAACUCUGAGACACGCUGAAAAGAAGAACCUUGGCCCAGAGCAUCAUAGUGAAGUUGUUUUGGCGACCUUCCUUUUUAAGAUCUUUGGCUGUGGGUGAGCUAUGUGACCUGGGAAAUGUAAGGUGAGCUGUUGCUGCAGAUGUAGCCCAGACACAGGGCACAAAAAGCCGCUCAUCUUUUGUCCUUUCAGAAACUGCAACUCUAUGACCCAAUGAAAGCAGUUUUUAAGUUCAAGCCAUCUGCCAGUUUAUGUGACGUGACAAUAAGUUAAUUUAAUAGAUGUUUAUUUUCCUCAUUUUAGAGACAUUACUAAUUCUAGCUUAUGUUCGAAUUCAAUAUAAUAUUUGUGCAAAAUACAAAUGAAGUGUAUAUAUAGUCUGUGACAGUUAGUUUUAAUUGUCAACUUGACAUAACCCAGAAUCACAUGGAAAAGGAAUCUCAGUGAGGGAUGGUCUACAUCAGAUUGUUCUGUGGGCACAUCUAAGUGGGAUUGUCUCGAUCACCUGCAUUGAUGUGAAAAUCCAGGCCAGCAUAAUUAGCACUGCUCCCUAGACAAGAGGCCAUGCGUAUGGAGCCAAGCACAGGCAAGCAAGCAAGCGAGCAAACAAGCAAGCAUGCAUUCAUCUCUCUUCUUGACCCUGGCUGCAAUGUGAUAGACUAUAACCUGGAAGCAUAAGGCGGUGAAAUCCCUUUUCCCUUAAUUUGAUUUUUGUCAGGAUAUGCUUAUCACAGCAACAGAAAUGAAACUAUAUUAGCAUUUAUUCCUAUUAAUCCUGUUAUUAUCUAU
ensembl:processed_transcript